ACUGAUUGUUGCUGAAUCGGUAACAGUCUGUUCCAGGGAAACAGCUGGAAUCAGACUGAACUGGCAGACACUGCACGUGUUCUACAGAGAAGAAAGAGGAUGAUGGUAAAGCAGACUGCAGUCUUCAGGCCUGGAGCAGAGAAGGGAGAGUUCCUGCUCUAGAGAAAAGAUUUUGCCACAUUGGCUAGGCUGCUCUCGAACUCUUGACCUCAGGUGAUCUGCCUGCCACCCAACCUACUGGGAUUACAGUAGCCAGUCCUGCCAGGGUUCUGGCUGUGCCGGGACAGUGAAUGGCCACUCCGUCCCAGAUGAGCUGCAGGAAGCGUUUCGAUGUCAUGUGGAGGUGAUGGCGAUUUUCAACUCAUUCCCGUUACAAACAGCCGACCUUCCUACCGAGUUCAAGUACCUUCUGCCUGGCCUGGAAGAACAAUAUCUCUCUGUCUCCCUCUUCCACUGGCCCUCACCUGCCUUCCCCUGAACAUGCAUUUUGCCUGACAGGAGGCAGAGGCAGUUGAGAUGGAGUCUUGCUAUAUGGCCCAGCUGGUAAUAAUGCCUAGAUUCUUGAGUCCCUCCCUGGCUCAUCCCUGGGAGCAGCACUGAACCUCAUGUCUGACACCUGUCUGGAAAUGGAGCCUGCACAUUGACCCUAGGCAUGAAGUGAACACUGCGGCUCCCACUUAGCACUUGGGCACGUGCAUCCUUGAAGCACACUGGGGUUAACACCCUGGGCGGGGGA
rnacentral:lncRNA from 1 species